UCUCAUGUACAAUAUAAGAUGCAUAAUUAAAAACAUCUGUUUAGCAUGUGCAAACAAUUCAUAAGUGGAGAUGUAUUCCUAAGCCAAGUCAAAUAGAUUAUUAAUUUUCAGAAGUUCACAGAAGGCAUCAAAAUCAAGUCUGCUCUGUUCCUGGAUAUUAUGGGAGGUAUAUGGAAGAAUAAGGCCUAAAUAUAGAUCCUUAAGUUGCAAGACUAAAUCAUACUAAAAUAGUAAAACAAACCUUUGCAGAGUGGCAUGGUGCGGAAACUCUCACAUUAUUCAAGAAUACAAAUCGACAUAUAUUUCAAUUAUAUCUGUAUCAUAGUCUUCCAAGGGAGCCUUUCAUGUCAUUUAAGCCGACAGAAAUAGCUCUCUUUUGUAAUUUUUGCAUUCUAUUAUAACUGCUAUGAAUUUGUAUGCCUUCUGCUGUCAGUAAAAUUGCAAAAAUAUAAACAGAUUGCAAUGGAAACUACACUAGAAUAGGAAAAAGUGAAAUCUGAAACAUCAAACGAUGAAAGGCCUUCCACAAGUACUUAGAGCAUAACUCUGUUUUUCGAUUCUCGCUUUCCACAACUUACAAUGGGAAAUCUCUUGUUAAAAUUAUUCAUAAACCAUAACUCUAUCUUUCUAUCUAGGUAAACAAUUCGCAUAAUGUACUCUAACAAAAUUCACAGUGCAAAAAUAGUUCAACUGUAGUAGAGAACAACUUUCCUAUGAGAGCCCCAGUUAUUGUAGCAAUUGUUAACCCUCAUCCAUUUGCAUGUUCAAUUUAGAACAGACAUCUAAAACCAAAAGAUGUUUUAAACAGAGGGAGCGUCUAAGUAGGUGAAAUAUGCCGAGUAACUGAUGUUGUAUAUAGUUUGGAUUGUGUCAUGGAAUAUUUCUGUCAUCGAGCUUGUAAAAGUUGUCUGCAAUUGGAGCAUUAAAGCAUAUAAAAUCACAUAUAGGUGAAAUUAACAAGUUUCAAUACAAAGCGCUUAACAGCUUUGCAAAUUAUUUUUUGUUCAUCUAUGAUGUAAAAAUGAACCUUCUCACUACUUAGAGAUAGGAAAAGAAGCAACAUGCACCAAGGAAGAGAAAUUAAAUAUCUCAAUCCCAACACAAGAUUGAAUUUUUUCAUAUGUAUGUUAAUCUUUUAAGUUUUAAGUAAACAAACACACAGAGAAGGGAAAAGAGAAGCGAAAUGGAUAGCAACCGGAAACUAUAUCAUAGAGGUACAUCUCUUAGAGGAAUUAAAUCAAACAACUGUGUGCCUACCCCAGAUUCCCACAUUUCAAAUACAACUUUUAUCAAAAUAUCCAAUAUGUGAGAAUUUAGUCUACCCAAUUCUAAUUUUUUUAAUAUACAUAUAUAGAGAGCUUUACCUCCUUUGAACAGCAAUAAAAAUUGAGAUUAACUUUAUUACAGAUUUGGUUUGGGGUAUUAGCUAAUCCCACGAUAACACACUAAAAAGAUGAGAUUAGUUAUCUUAUGUAGAAGGUGAGAUAACUAAUCACAUGGGAUAUUCCACCACCAUUGUUCCCAACUAUCCCUUAAGGAACUCUAUUCUUUUAGAUGUUGAGGAAAUUAAAACCCCAUGAUUAUCUGCAAAAGAAUAUUUCCCCUUUCAAGUUUCUUUAGUGCAUACAUCAAAUAAUCUCCCAGCUCAAGAGUUUCCUCUCCUUGUUUUCAAUGCUUUUAGUUCAACCCCGUUAAUUGACCAUUGUUGUCUUGCAAAUUCUUGUGGAAAAUCAUUCCCAUAUUUGGUCUUGUGUGAUAAUCUUGUGGAAAGCCAUACACCAACUUUGGGUAUUGUGAUAUUAUUGUUGUUGUGAAAUCCAUANNNNNNNNNNNNNNNNNNNNNNNNNNNNNNNNNNNNNNNNNNNNNNNNNNNNNNNNNNNNNNNNNNNNNNNNNNNNNNNNNNNNNNNNNNNNNNNNNNNNNNNNNNNNNNNNNNNNNNNNNNNNNNNNNNNNNNNNNNNNNNNNNNNNNNNNNNNNNNNNCAUAUGGAUUCAAGUAAGCUUCCGCUCAUGUAGUUGUUGUUCCAAAUUGUUCAAUAUGAAGGUUAUUGUAUUUUAGUCGGAAUCAUUAUUCUAACAAGCUUUACUUCCUUUGAACAGGGAUAAAAAUUGAGAUUAACUUUAUUCCAGGUUUGGUUUGAGGUAUUAGCUAAUCCCAGGAUAACACAUUAAAAAGAUGAGAUUAGUUAUCCUAUGUAGAAGGUGAAAUAACUAAUCCCAUGAGAUACCCCACCACCAUUGUUCCAAACUACCCCUUAAGGAACUCUGUUCUUUUAGAUGUGGAGGAAAUUAAAACCCUAUGUUUAUCUGCAAAAGAGCUUUUCCCCUUUCAAGUUUCUUUAGUGCAUACAUCAAAUACUCCCAGCUCAAGAGUUUCCUCUCCUUGUUUUCAAUGCUUUUAGUUCAACCCCGUUAAUUGGCUUUUAAGAAAAAAGGACCAAAGAAAAAGACAGAAAGAAAGCGUGCUAAAAAAAAUGCAACAAUCAACAUGCUCUGAAUCUAGAGACGAAAAAACACUUGAUUCAGUAUUCACGCAUCAAUAAAAAUUCUAUCUUAAAGAACCCACAAACAACUAAUCACAAGAAAACCAAUAAAAUACACUUAUCCAAAAUCCAAAUUCUUCUAUUUAACAGAAGAAAAAAAACAUAACACAAAGUAAGCAGACAAAUAAAAGUCCAAAACAGUACAUAUCAAUAAAUCUACAGUUACCCAGAUGUCAAAUUAGUGUAAACGAAAAUCCCAAUUAAUGAAACAUACCCAAAAAUUAAACAAAACAAAAUUACUUCUUUUUAGCCCAAGAAUCUGAAAUUAUAAAAAGUUCAAAACUUUGAGUAUAAAACAAAAAUUGUACCGAGAUACCCAGAUAUUAUACACAAUCAGAGAUUAUUUUUUCAUCUCCAUUAGUAAGAAACUAAAAAGUUGAAUCUUAAAGAAUAAGAACAAAACUAAAAAUUGAAAAAAAUAGAAAAGUUUUGAGCAAAGAAAUACUUACCAAAUUAAGAAAGGGAUGGAGAUUUGCAAUAUAUGAGUGAGAAUAAUCUGAAGACACAUGCAACAGAGAAUUGAAAAGAGUGAAUAAGGUUAUGGAGGCAAUUAAAGUGAAGCUGGAGAGUGAGAGAGAGAAAAAAAUUGGGAAGGACGAUGAUUUCAUUGUGUAGUGUAUUUGGGGGGAAAUAUUUUCAUUAAUUCUAAUAUUUGGUGGGGAAAUUUUGAGGGAAGAUUUAUAUAAUUCGUUUUAAACCUUUUCCUAUAAGGGCUUCUUUACUGAACGUGAAUGGGGGGAAAUGUUUUAUUAAGUGCAAUUUUGGUGGGAAAUUAUUGGGGAAUAUUUUACAAGAAAUUU
rnacentral:lncRNA from 1 species